CAAUAGCGUAUAUUAAAGUUGUUGCAGUUAAAAAGCUCGUAGUUGGAUUUCUGGUAGGAGCGACCGUGCCGAACUUGAUUGUUCGAGUAUUGUGUUGUCUUCAGCCAUCCUCGUGGAGAACUUUUCUAACAUUAACUUGUUGGGAUUGGGACCCGCGUCGUUUACUGUGAAAAAAUUAGAGUGUUUAAAGCAGGCAUUAGCUUGAAUAUAUUAGCAUGGAAUAAUAAGAUAGGACUUUGGUACUAUUUUGUUGGUUUGCAUACCAAAUUAAUGAUCAACAGGAACAGUUUGAGGAUAUUCGUAUGAACAUGUCAGAGGUGAAAUUCUUGGAUUUUGAUCAGACGAACUACUGCGAAAGCAUUUAUCAAGGAUGUUUUCAUUAA
rnacentral:rRNA from 1 species